UACGGGGGGGGCGAAGCGUUGUUCGGAAUUACUGGGCGUAAAGGGCUCGUAGGCGGCCAACUAAGUCAGACGUGAAAUCCCUCGGCUUAACCGGGGAACUGCAUCUGAUACUGGAUGGCUUGAGUUCGGGAGAGGGAUGCGGAAUUCCAGGUGUAGCGGUGAAAUGCGUAGAUAUCUGGAGGAACACCGGUGGCGAAGGCGGCAUCCUGGACCAUUACUGACGCUGAGGAGCGAAAGCCAGGGGAGCAAAGC
rnacentral:rRNA from 1 species